UACGUAGGGUCCGAGCGUUGUCCGGAAUUAUUGGGCGUAAAGGGCUCGUAGGCGGUCCGUCGCGUCGGGAGUGAAAACUCGGAGCUUAACUCCGAGCCUGCUUCCGAUACGGGCAGACUAGAGGUAGGCAGGGGAGAGCGGAACUCCUGGUGUAGCGGUGGAAUGCGCAGAUAUCAGGAAGAACACCGGUGGCGAAGGCGGCUCUCUGGGCCUUACCUGACGCUGAGGGACGAAAGCUAGGGGAGCGAAUGGG
rnacentral:rRNA from 1 species